ensembl:misc_RNA
UUGAUAGCACCAGAGAGUAAAAUCUUCUCUUGAGCUAUAGAACAGGUACAUCCUGGAAGUAGCUGUGAAAUUUUCUCCCACAAAACUGUGCCAAUGGACCUCAAACCUGAAUUGGAAGGACCACCUCUGGGUUGAGAGGGGAAUUCAUCCUCCAUGGCCCAUUCAGCAGUUGGCCUCU